UUUUUUUCCCCCUAAUAGAUUGCAAUCACAUGAAAAACGUACCUAUAAGAAUUAAAUCUAUGCCUAUACUGGUUUUAUGCAAAAAAUCGUUCAGUAUAUUCUUCCUAUUAAUUAUUGAACUAAAAUUGAGUAGAUUAUUAUUAUCACCAUUUAUAUAGCGCCAACAGAUUCCGUAGCGCUUUACAAUAUUAUGAGAGGAGGGAUUAAACUAUAAAUAGGACAACUACAAAAAAACUUACAGGAACGAUAGGUUGAAGAGGACCCUGCUCAAACGAGCUUACAGACUCCAAUGUUCGUG